UGGCUCUUGCAUCGAUGAAGAACGCAGUGAAAUGCGAUAUGUAAUGUGAAUUGCAGAAACCAGUGAAUCAUCGAAUCUUUGAACGCACAUUGCGCCUGAGGGUAGUCCUUUAGGCAUGCUUGUUCGAGCGUCGUUUCACAAAAUCAAAACGUCGUUGGCUGUCAAACUUUGACAUCUGAAAGUUAUCGGCUGGUGUCGACGAAUCCAUUGCAGCGAAAUGCAAGGUCUCGAGGCAUAAGCCAUGUAUACGAUAUGUUUGACCUCGAAUCAAGUAAGAUUACCCGCUGA
rnacentral:misc_RNA from 1 species